ACGACGCUGGCGGCAGGCCUAACACAUGCAAGUCGAGCGGUAGAGAGAAGCUUGCUUCUCUUGAGAGCGGCGGACGGGUGAGUAAUACCUAGGAAUCUGCCUGAUAGUGGGGGAUAACGUUCGGAAACGGACGCUAAUACCGCAUACGUCCUACGGGAGAAAGCAGGGGACCUUCGGGCCUUGCGCUAUCAGAUGAGCCUAGGUCGGAUUAGCUAGUUGGUGAGGUAAUGGCUCACCAAGGCUACGAUCCGUAACUGGUCUGAGAGGAUGAUCAGUCACACUGGAACUGAGACACGGUCCAGACUCCUACGGGAGGCAGCAGUGGGGAAUAUUGGACAAUGGGCGAAAGCCUGAUCCAGCCAUGCCGCGUGUGUGAAGAAGGUCUUCGGAUUGUAAAGCACUUUAAGUUGGGAGGAAGGGCAGUAAAUUAAUACUUUGCUGCUUUGACGUUACCGACAGAAUAAGCACCGGCUAACUCUGUGCCAGCAGCCGCGGUAAUACAGAGGGUGCAGCGUUAAUCGGAAUUACUGGGCGUAAAGCGCGCGUAGGUGGUUUGUUAAGUUGAAUGUGAAAUCCCCGGGCUCAACCUGGGAACUGCAUCCAAACUGCCAAGCUAGAGUAUGGUAGAGGGUAGUGGAUUUCCUGUGUAGCCGUAAAUGCG
rnacentral:rRNA from 1 species